AUGAUCACUGUUAUAUUCAUGUGUCUGUGGCUUUCAUUAGGUGACUCCAAGGCAGAUCCAAUAGAGCCACUUUUCACUCAUAAAGUUGUAGAUGAAGGUGAUGAUGUUACUCUGUCCUGCAGCUACAAAGACUUCAGUGAUGCUGUAAAUAACUUGCAAUGGUACAAACAACAUCCAAAAUCUAAACCUGAGUUCCUUUUUUACAUCUUACCGAGUGGAAUUAAAACUGACCCUAUGCCACCACGUCUGUCUGCUGAAGUUGAUGAUAAAACUAAACAAGUGGAUCUGAUCAUCUCCUCUGCUGCUGUAUCAGACUCUGCUCUAUACUACUGUGCUCUGCAGCCCACAGUGACAGGAAAUCCAGCUGCACUGUACAAAAACACUGACACAGUUUUAUUAUACUGA